UACGGAGGAUCCGAGCGUUAUCCGGAUUUAUUGGGUUUAAAGGGUUCGCAGGCGGCCUUGUAAGUCAGAUGUGAAAGACAGCGGCUUAACCGUUGUAAGCAUUUGAAACUGCAGGGCUUGAGUACAGGAGAGGAAAGCGGAAUUCCUAGUGUAGCGGUGAAAUGCGUAGAUAUUAGGAGGAACACCAGUUGCGAAGGCGGCUCUCUGGACUGUAACUGACACUGAGGCACGAAAGCGUGGGGAGCAAACAGGAUUAGAUACCCUGGUAGU
rnacentral:rRNA from 1 species